rnacentral:tRNA from 1 species
GGGCGGUUAGCUCAGUUGGUAGAGCGUUGCACUGACGUUGCAAAGGCCACAGGUUCGAAUCCUGUACCGCCCA